UACGAAGGGGGCUAGUGUUGUUCGGAAUUACUGGGCGUAAAGCGCGCGCAGGCGGUCUUCCAAGUCAGUGGUGAAAGCCCGGAGCUCAACUCCGGAACUGCCAUUGAAACUGUUAGACUUGAGGACGAGAGAGGUGAGUGGAAUUCCCAGUGUAGAGGUGAAAUUCGUAGAUAUUGGGAAGAACACCGGUGGCGAAGGCGGCUCACUGGCUCGUAUCUGACGCUCAGGCGCGACAGCGUGGGGAUCAAACAGG
rnacentral:rRNA from 1 species